rnacentral:rRNA from 1 species
UACGUAGGGUGCGAGCGUUGUCCGGAAUUAUAGGGCGUAAAGAGCUCGUAGGCGGUCUGUCGCGUCGAUCGUGAAAACUUGGGGCUUAACCCUGAGCUUGCGGUCGAUACGGGAAUGACUGGAGUUCGGCAGGGGAGACUGGAAUUCCUGGUGUAGCGGUGAAAUGCGCAGAUAUCAGGAGGAACACCGGUGGCGAAGGCGGGUCUCUGGGCCGAUACUGACGCUGAGGAGCGAAAGCGUGGGGAGCGAACAGG